UCUAAAACUUUAUCUUUUGGUUUCCUUUUGCUGGUGAGUUUGGGCUUAGCUUCGGCGGCCCGAUCUCUUCUUUCUUACGAUAUUCCUCCUCAUCGAUCUGGAUACGAUAAUUAUGAUCAUCCUGUAGUUAACCCUAAAGUAGGAUACGAACAUGACCGUCGUGAUGGAUACUACCAUGACCGUGACCAUCAUGAUGCACCUUAUGGUGGUGGUGCUGGUGGAGGAUAUGGAGCUGGAGCUGGAGCUGGCUCAUCUCUUGGAGGCUCUGGAUAUGGAAGUGGAGGAGGUGGUGGUUCUGGAUAUGGAGGUGUAGGAAACCACGAGGUUGGUUAUGGUAGUGGUGGAGGGGGUGGAUAUGGAGCUGGAGUUGGCUCUGACCUUGGUGGUAGCGGAUACGGAAGCGGUGGUGGUGGAGGCAGUGGAGGAGGAUACGGUGAUUUAGGAGGACGUGGAAAAGGGUACGGUAGCGGUGGAGGUGGAGGAAGUGGAUAUGGAGGUAGAGGAGACCAUGGAGUUGGUUAUGGAAGUGGUGGAGGUGGAGGAUAUGGAAGUGGAGUAGGUGGUGGUGCAGGAGUGGUAGACCAUGGUGUAGGUUAUGGGAGUGGAGGAGGAGGUGGGGCUGGUAGUGGUUAUGGUGGUUCCAAAGGAUAUGGAGGUGGAAGCGGCGGCGGUGGGGGAGCCGGUUAUGGUGGUGGAGCACAUGGAAGUGGAUAUGGAAGUGGUGGUGGAGCUGGAAGUGGUGAAGAAGGAGGAUAUGAUGGUGGAUAUGCACCGUAAACAAAGAAAAGAAAAGAAAAAGCUCAAAGUUUUAUGGCUAAAAUGAGAAUGCUUACCCUAAUAUCAUCAAUGUGUGUGUGUGUUAGCAAAAAAAAAAAAUAAAAGAAUUUGGGUAA
rnacentral:lncRNA from 1 species